CCCUUUGUGGUGUAGUGGUCAACACACUCGACGCAUAUUCGAGAGGUCCGUGGUUCGAGUCCCGGCGAGGACA
rnacentral:tRNA from 1 species